ACUGGCAGCUCCAAGGUCAGGACGCCGUGGUUCCACACAGGCGGCUCGCGGUCACCACUUCCUUCAGGUCACUCUCGGGCUUGCCGGCCACCAUAAAGGGCCAGGUCUGCAAGGGAGAAGAGCGUGGAGGAGGUGGAGACUUAAGUGACCAUAUCCACUCUCAAGAUUUAUUGCAAGACUGACUGAUGUUAUAAACCGGGAAAGGACUCUUCCCACCACAGGGAUGACAGAAAUAUCAAGUGAAGUUGCCUUUGUCUUCGUGCAGAAAUGAGCCCGGACCACAACACAGGCAGCACCAAGAGAACACCCAACAAGCUUGGGAGAAGCUUCUCUGCUGAUUUCCAGAGUGACCUUUCUUUCGCCCAGUCACCCCCUGUUCUCAGUUUCACCAACACAGAACCUUCACCUACAGAUGGCAUCUUGUGAAACUUCUCUUGCCCGCGUUGGCCGUCAGCUGCUGCUGUCACAACACAAGUCUUGUUUAGCUGCCAUACUGUUGAGAUUUCGUGGGUGUUAGCAUGUCUGUUGUGUCUCCAAGACCCACAGGAGCUCCUGGACAACGACUGUUGAUGAGGAAAAACAAAACAAAACAAAACAAAACACCCAACAAAACCUGAAGAAGCAGGCCAGCCUUUUCAGAUUCUGGAACCAGUUCAGGCCCAAGACAACCAAAGUGUGCUUAUAUAAUGACGGCUGGAAUAGAAGGUGUCAGCUGCACUGUCUUAUGAAGCAGCAAACUCUUCCUGCAAACACAAACCAACAGAUGUGAUUCUAGACUCAGGUUUUCCUCCGUUCGUUUAACCCUUCUCUGUCUUAGCCUGUUCUGUAGACUUAAAUCUGGGCUCCAAAUAAAGGACUCCUGCCUGUUGGCUUCAGUGUAGCCAGUCGAAGGCAGAAGGAGACUGACUCUUAGCUUAUGGGGACUCUGUUUUCUUCAGUUAAUUGCCUGGAGAGAAAUGGGUACAUAGGAAAGGCAGACUGGCAGUCAGGUUCGGAGUUAGCCGGAUGGAUGUUGACAGCUGAGCUUCUUCCUGCCUGCUGGAGCUGGGGCGGAUAGCUGAUCCCCUUAGGGUCCUGUGCUUGUUUUACAGAUGAAGUGGGAUCCAUACACGGGUGCCCAGGCACACACACCAGCAAGCACAGGCUGACUGGCUGACUGCUAAGUGUAACUCCUGUCACCACAUGCUCUGCUCUGUAUUUCUUAUAUGCUUCAGGCCAUGGUUUUUUUGCUUUGUUUGUCUGUCGUGUUCUUAAAGUAAACUAUAUAGUUUUCUGAUUGUUUAGACGUAUAUCUGAAUCCAGUGCUUCAAGAGCAGUUAAUCAUUAUGCUCUGUGAGGUAUGAAGUCUUAGUGAGUUAUCAGCUGUCAAUCCGAAUUCCACGGGCUUAGUCAACCCCAUGAUUGUGAAAAUCUCUGUACUAUCUAACAAAAUGAUUUUAAGCCCUAUGGAUUACCUAUAUUUUAAUAAAUAAAUGCAAAUUUCAAGACAAAA